CACCAGUGGNGAAGGCGACUUUCUGGACGAAAACUGACGCUGAGGCGCGAAAGCCAGGGGAGCGAACGGGAUUAGAUACCCCGGUAGUCCUGGCCGUAAACGAUGGGUACUAGGUGUAGGAGGUAUCGACCCCUUCUGUGCCGGAGUUAACGCAAUAAGUACCCCGCCUGGGGAGUACGACCGCAAGGUUGAAACUCAAAGGAAUUGACGGGGGCCCGCACAAGCGGUGGAGUAUGUGGUUUAAUUCGACGCAACGCGAAGAACCUUACCAGGUCUUGGCAUUGAUGGACAGAACUAGAGAUAGUUCCUCUUCUUCGGAAGCCAGAAAACAGGUGGUGCACGGUUGUCGUCAGCUCGUGUCGUGAGAUGUUGGGUUAAGUNNNNNNACGAGCGCAACCCCUAUCUUAUGUUGCCAGCACUUCGGGUGGGAACUCAUGAGAGACUGCCGCAGACAAUGCGGAGGAAGGCGGGGAUGACGUCAAAUCAUCAUGCCCCUUAUGACCUGGGCUACACACGUACUACAAUGGGAGUUAAUAGACGGAAGCGAAACCGCGAGGUGGAGCAAACCCGAGAAACACUCUCUCAGUUCGGAUCGUAGGCUGCAACUCGCCUACGUGGAGUCGGAAUCGCUAGUAAUCGCAGGUCAGCAUACUGCGGUGAAUACGUUCCCGGGCCUU
rnacentral:rRNA from 1 species